AAAUUGGUCGGUCAUCUGGACCCCUGUAGGACAUGAGGGGGAGGUAUGAAGUUCAAUCAGUCAAUGGACACUUACAAAGCAACUUCCAGUCAGGUCAGGUGCUAAGCAUGAGCAUACGAAGAAGGUCUGCUCUCAAGCCACUCACAGUCUACAUCAGGAGACAAAAUGUAAACUACAUACUAAUAAUAUUUGGGUAAAGGGCACAUAAUCAGUAGAGGGAAGGGACCAGCACUGGGGAGGAGUAGGAAAGGCUUUUCAUAGAAGAUGGAUUUUUUGUGUGAGAAUUGGAAGAAACUGAAGUCCAGGACACAAAUUUAGAGAACAAGCCUAAGAAAGAUAGAAGACUGAGUCUGACAUUUUUCUCCCUCUGAUGCCCCAAUUCAGGAACCAGUUUAGUCUAAAAUAAAGAAAACACAUUACCCAACUUCUGGUCAAGAUGGCAGCUUAGAGAAAGCUAAAGUUCAGAUCUCCUGAAACCCUUCCCUACCGAACUCAAACUAUAUGCUCCUAAGGCACCGAAAUUCAAAACAAACAACAGCAUAGACCCUGGGAAUCGUCCUCCUGGACCUGGACCUGGAUCAAAAGGCAGAAGAGUGGUAACGACUAGGCAAUGGAGAUCAAGUGACUUGUACAAGGUCAAUGAAGAGUCUGAGAUCAGAUUUGAACCCAGGACCUCCAGUCUCUGGACCUGGUUCUUAAUCCACUGAGUCACCCAGCUGUCCUCGGUCCUUUCUCCCCUCUCCACACCUUAGAAGGAUCAUCCAUCAAAUAGAUAUCUACUUAAGAUGAACAAGGAGAAAAACCAGAAUUGGAUACCAAGAAGGGAAUAUGCUGAAUUGCCUUCAAGAUAUUGUCCAGUACUUUCUCCAGACCAUGCCUGCUCCUUAUCACAAAGGAAAAAUUUUUCACUGAAUGAGUUUUCCUGGUAAUGAUGAAUAUCUGCCAAUCUUGGAGUAUCAUCCUGACAAUGGAAAGAGAGUUCCUGAUGACCAAAAGGCACUCAAGACAUGAAUCCUCCAAGUCCAGUGGCAAGAUAAAAAAGUCAGAAUGAUUGGCAAUAGCUCAGGACACAGCGUGUGACUGGCAUCUCCGAUUCCUGACCAAGCUUGAGAUGCUGCACAGAACCAGCUUCAGCUGCCUUCAUGGUCUUUGGAACACAAUGUUCUCAUCUGUUCAUUCUAAGGAAGGAGAUCUUCUCGUGCAUGCAGCAGACAUCCCUCCAACUCACCAAUGAGUCCAAGGCUUGUAGAUUACCUUCAACCUAUUUAUCUUGUUCACUGUAUUGGUUUUACCAGAGUAUGACUAUGGUACAUGCUACAGCUUCUUGGAGCCACAGGUGAGAGUUGAGUCAAUGGUGGACAUCAAAGAUAAAUGAGCAGUUUUGAAAAAUGCUUUGGCAAAUCCAAAUGGCAGAGGUUCUAGUCCUCCCUGAACCCCACACAUACCCUAAUUGUCUUACUGUGUGGCAGAAUGAAAAAAAAAAUGCUAACAUCUAAAUAGCUUCCAGCCUAAUGGAGAAGAUAAGAAUAUCCAUAAUUAAAUACAUUAUUAUAUAAAUAAAUAUGAAUGGAAAAGUUAAAAACAAAGUUCAUAACAAUUUAUCAAUUGCUUUCUGUAAGUCCCCAUUUAAGAUUCUUUGUCAUUACUCUCAAUUCAUGUUUCCUCCUUAUCCUGUAGAAGUUAUGUUAUGUUAUGUUAUGUUAUGUUAUGUUAUGUUAUGUUAUGUUAUGUUAUGUUAUGUUAUGUUAACAUUACUAAAUAUUCCAUUUUUUUCUGAUUUAGAGGUUUUUGUUUUGUUUUGAUUUCAUCAAGAAUUGCACAGAAUAACAACGAAUCUUGGAAUUGGAAAGGAUCUCAGGGACCAUCUAUUACAACCCAAAUUUGAACAAGGAUAAUUUCCUAACAGACUUUAGUUUCUAGAUUUCAUUGCAUUUUUCAUAUGUGCUAUUAAAAUUAAAUUCUUCUGGGUGGUACCACUAUUCCGUGUAAUCAGAGCCCAAAUGGAAUGGACUAGUUUAUGAACUAGUAAAUGACUUACCAUUAGAAGGAUUUGCAUAUAUUUUAGAUAAUGUCAUAGCAGAGAAUCCUUAUAUGUGGUGAUAUAUUUUACUAGAUAAUCCCUUAUAUUCUAAAAUGUUAGGAGUGAUAUCCCACUUUUCUUUCUUCUAGACAGAUCUGUCCAUAGAUGGGAUAAUGAAUCACAAUCCAAUUAUAAUUUCAAGUUACUUUUGGCCUGUUGCUCACUAAUUUGAUUGAAGCCACAAUCUCAAAAUGCACUCUAGUUUGUUUCUUUUUCGGUUCUUCAAAGAGAGAUAAUGUGAGAUAAAGGGAAGCAUGCCAGGUUUAGAUUCAGGUAAGGUUCAGGUUCAAAUCUCAUAUUUAUAACUUCUGUGCUUCAUGAAUGUGAAAAAAAUUGUUUGAUUUCUCUGAACAUCAGCUCACUUAUAUCAGCAAAACUGGGGUAUUUGGUAGAGGUUUAGCACAACAAAAACAAAGAAGUAGAGAAAUGAAGCAAGAAUAAGAAAUAAUAGACCUCAGUAACAUACUGUGCAUUAAAAUCAAAGAAUAUUAGGUAUUUGGGUAUACAAUGAGAACUACUAGAAAGAUGGGAAAACAGUUUAACCAAAAAAAAGGUUUAAACUAGCAACCUAUACCAUAUGUCACAUUAAAUUUUUACUAAAUGUUUAUUCUACAUACGAAAGACAGUAUCGUUUUUUAAUGGAGGAAAAUUGAAAGAGAUAAUGUUCCUGACUUUGGCAAGCACAAGAACUUUGAACAAGAGAAGGGACAAGCAUAAAAAAGACAAUAUUUUAUUAUAUGAACCUGAAAAGCUUUUACUCACCUACAUUUUCCCCCUCCCCCACAAAAAAGCAAGGCAACUGCCAAGAAGGGAAGCUUUCUAUUGGGAGAAAAAUCUUUACUUUGAACACUUCUGAUUCAAAUCUGAUAUUUAAAUAAAUAAAGAACUAAUUACAUAUUUCUCAAGACACUAUGAAUUACCCACCAUCUUAUAAAGGAAAGCACAAGUGAAAGGAACACCUAUGUCAGUGGUGGCUAUAGUCCUCUACUUUGUGGCCAUUUUCUUGACAGCAUUGCUUGGCUUCCCUGAUGACCAGGGAAUAUAAUCUUUCAUCUCUGGAGUUUCUGUCCUGGAGUCUUGCUGUCCUGAUCAGUGAAUUACCUCAAAAAGGCCACUAUUUCAGUCAGACCUUAGCCACAAUUUAUUUUACUCUCUACUUUUUGUAUACACUUUUCUUGUUCUGGAAGCAUGAUCAAAUCAAUUUUGUUAUUGUUCAUAGAAUCCUAGAAUGGCUGAGCCAGACUCCUCCAGUGCUCCCCUCUAUGUGUUUUUUUUAAUGCCUGUUGGAAUGUAGAUAGAGACUGCUUAGCCUAGUGAUUGGAAUAUAAUAAAUGUUUAGGAAAUUACUUUUAUCCUUUUAUCCAUUCAGUCAUUCAUGAAUGAUAUCAAGGAGCCAAGAAAGCAUGAAAAAGCCAAGUUGCUGAAAGGAAGAAUUAAAUUUAAUUCAUAAAACUUUUUACUAAGUCUUGGAUGCUAGAUACUAUGAUUUCUUUGCUAUAUGAAUAAAAAAGUCCUAAUGAUUAUUAGAGAGAAACAGCACAUAUGUAGAUAAGUAAAUACAAAAAAACAAAUAUAGAAAAUUUUAUUUGAAACAGGGAGAGUAUUAAGAGUUGAAUGGAGGCAUCAUGAAACCCUUCACUUCAGAUUAAAUAUGAUGUGAGUUUUGAGAGGAGAUAGGAAUUUGAAGAUAUGAGAGUGGAAAAUUCCAUUCUCAGUAUGAGUCAGUCUACAUUAGGCAUGGAGGCAAAAGAUGGAAUGCCAUGUAUAAGGAAGACACUGUUUUCCAACUCCUAUUUGUAACAUGAUUUUCAUUCAGAGAAAUUAGUCACCAGUUGGUUUUGUUUUUGAAUCUCAGCAUCUGGGACAAUGCCUUUUAGUGUUUUGUUUUCCUUUUUGGAUUGCAUUGGAUUGAGUAUAUAAAUAUAAAACUGUAAUACCUCACCCGUCCCUGGAAGGCAGACUCUUCACGUAUGCAAAUGGUAACUGAUUAAUAAUACAGAGGGACAAAACCUGGCACAAUAAUUCUUUAAUGUGUACACUAUAUACAAUGACUAAAGACUCAUUAGUAAGAAAUUAGAUACUUGUGUCAUUUCUAACCAAAACCUAAAGUCAACAAUUAGGGGACUUUCAAAGUGUUGGAUAGAAUCCACAUGCAGACUCUAAAAUAUUCUGGAAGUCCCAAGAUGAUGCACUCUGGGAUGCUAGGGAGACUAAUAUUGCCUUUUGACAAAUUAUUGUUGUUGUGGAAAACAUUAAGGACACAUUCUCUUCAAAAUCAAAUCUCCAUUUCGGCACAAUCAGCAGGGCUUAAUUAGAGAACAUGAAUAAUUGAACUUGGGCUGCUGCUGCUCUCUCUCUGAGAUAGAGACCCAAGAGUCAUGUGGAAGUAAAUCUGAGUUAGACAAAAGGGUAUGUUUCAUUGAAUCAUCCUCUUAUGUUUUUCUCUCUUUGACAGCAACCUUUUCAAUGAUAAUUCAAAUGAACACCCUCCAAGCAAAUACUAUAAAUAUGGGUCUUCAGUUAACAGAGAAGGGGGAAAAAAGAUCCGUUAGUAUUUCAAACUUAAAAGCAAGUUCCCAUGAAUAAAAUAAUUCAAAAGGAACACAGGGAAAUAUGAAAGCCACAUAACUAAAAAGAAAGAUGUUGGGAACAAUAUGGAGAUUUAAUUGAUGCUCCAGUAUCCUUAUUGAUGUCUAACAUUAUUGAAAUAGGUAUUCUCUUCAAUGACUCAUAUCCUAAAUGUUGUCAUUAGAUCUGUCCAUGCUGUGGGAUUCUCAUCCAAGUCCUUCCAUACAUUCAGCAUUCUGAGGACUGGAGACCUACUUCUAGUUUUACUGACAAUUGUGGAUACCAAUGUAUUGCGGAAGUAGAGUCAGGAAUUCCUAAGCUCAAAUCUUUAUUAGAUAUGUGAUGCUACAGAAUAGUUUUUUUAUUCUCGAGCAACUCUCUAAAAUUAAAAGUAUAGGUGUAUAUUGCACAAGUAGAGAUUCUUUGAUUGAAAAAAUUACAAAUACCCUAUCUGCCCAUCUGUACCCUGGAUCCUUGAUUUCAUUAAUCUAGGGACAUUUGUUUUAAAGUCCAGUCCACUAUCUAGUGUGCUGGAUUAGAGGUAAAAAUUGAAGUGUAAAAAUAUGGUAUGAAGAAGGCUACAAAGCCAUGUGGUGGUUCAUUUGAGCCUCAUAUCUAACUUCUAAAGGAAAUACUAUAAGUAUUGGUUAUCUCCAUUUUACAGAUCAGAAAAAUGAGGCUCAGAUAAAUUGACUUGUCCAUGGUUACACAGCCAGUUAAUGGUAGGAUUUUAACCUGUCUUCCCAAUGCCACAUCCAGAAUCCCAAUCCUUUCAUUGCCAAUGCUGCAAAUCACAAUAAAAGGGCACAUAAUGUGGGUACAGACUAGAAAAUUGGGAGCCAGGGAGAUAAAGUACCUUGCUAAAAUAAAUAAAAUAACUCACAUUUUUGGGAAUAUAUUAAAGCUUAUAUUUUUAUUUGAGCUUCACAGUCCUUUGGGGCAAUUCAUUUAGUUAGUCCCACUAUAUUGAAGAGGACACUGGGGGUCAGAAAGACUAAAGCACUUGCCCAGGUUCAUAGGAAGUGUCUGAGAAUGGAUUUAAAACCAGUUUGUACUGAUAUCAAGUUCACCAUGCUAUCCACUAUGUACUACUUACUCUCAAUA